GAUGAACGCUAGCGGCAGGCUUAACACAUGCAAGUCGAGGGGCAGCGCGGGUAGCAAUAUCUGGCGGCGACCGGCAAACGGGUGCGGAACACGUACGCAAUCUACCCUUAUCUGGGGCAUAGCCCGGAGAAAUCCGGAUUAACUCCCCAUAGGAUUAUGGAGUGGCAUCACUCUAUAAUUAAAAAUUUAUUGGAUAAGGAUGAGCGUGCGUCCCAUUAGCUAGUUGGUAGGGUAACGGCCUACCAAGGCGACGAUGGGUAGCUGGUGUGAGAGCACGACCAGCCACACGGGCACUGAGACACGGGCCCGACUCCUACGGGAGGCAGCAGUGAGGAAUAUUGGUCAAUGGACGCAAGUCUGAACCAGCCAUGCCGCGUGAAGGAUGAAGGCCUUCUGGGUUGUAAACUUCUUUUAUUGGGGAAGAAAAUUACGGUUUCUACUGUAACCGACGGUACCCAAGGAAUCAGCACCGGCUAACUCCGUGCCAGCCGCCGCGGUAAUAC
rnacentral:rRNA from 1 species